rnacentral:rRNA from 1 species
UGGCCGCGGGAUUGGCUCAGGACGAACGCUGGCGGCGUGCUUAACACAUGCAAGUCGAGCGGUAAGGCCCUUCGGGGUACACGAGCGGCGAACGGGUGAGUAACACGUGGGUGACCUGCCCCCUACUCUGGGAUAAGCCUGGGAAACUGGGUCUAAUACCGGAUAUGACAUGAUCCUUCAUGGGGUUGUGUGCAAAGUGUGUUCUUGAUUGGGCACUUCGGUGGGGGAUGGACCCGCGGCCUAUCGGCUUGUUGGUGGGGUGAUGGCCUACCAAGGCGACGACGGGUAGCCGGCCUGAGAGGGCGACCGGCCACACUGGGACUGAGACACGGCCCAGACUCCUACGGGAGGCAGCAGUGUGAAUAUUGCGCAAUGGGCGGAAGCCUGACGCAGCGACGCCGCGUGGGGGAUGACGGCCUUCGGGUUGUAAACCUCUUUCGGCCCCGACGAAGCGUGAGUGACGGUAGGGGUAGAAGAAGCACCGGCCAACUACGUGCCAGCAGCCGCGGCAACACGUAGGGUGCGAGCGUUGUCCGGAAUUAUUGGGCGUAAAGAGCUCGUAGGCGGUGUGUCGCGUCGGCCGUGAAAACCUGCAGCUUAACUGUGGGCUUGCGGUCGAUACGGGCAUCACUGGAGUUCGGCAGGGGAGACUGGAAUUCCUGGUGUAGCGGUGAAAUGCGCAGAUAUCAGGAGGAACACCGGUGGCGAAGGCGGGUCUCUGGGCCGAUACUGACGCUGAGGAGCGAAAGCGUGGGCAGCGAACAGGAUUAGAUACCCUGGUAGUCCAGGCCGUAAACGUUGGGCGCUAGGUGUGGGGGCCAUUCCACGGUCUCUGUGCCGUAGCUAACGCAUUAAGCGCCCCGCCUGGGGAGUACGGCCGCAAAGCUAAACUCAAAGGAAUUGACGG